CCUACGGGGGGCAGCAGUGGGGAAUAUUGCACAAUGGGGGAAACCCUGAUGCAGCAACGCCGCGUGAGUGAUGACGGCCUUCGGGUUGUAGAGCUCUGUCUUCAGGGACGAUAAUGACGGUACCUGAGGAGGAAGCCACGGCUAACUACGUGCCAGCAGCCGCGGUAAUACGUAGGUGGCGAGCGUUGUCCGGAUUUACUGGGCGUAAAGGGAGCGUAGGCGGAUUUUUAAGUGAGAUGUGAAAUACUCGGGCUCAACUUGAGUGCUGCAUUUCAAACUGGAAGUCUAAAGUACAGGAGAGGAGA
rnacentral:rRNA from 1 species